GCAUUUGCUGCUUGUGAUGCUUAUUAAACACCAAGAUAGAUGAUACUAAUUUUCCAGUUGGUUUUUGCAACCCAGAUUUCCACUGGCAAGUGUAAACAAGGGUAAACCACAUUAGGAAUCCAGCAAACCAGCUCCUAGAAAGUAAGCUCUGGCUCAAUAGAGAAAUGAUUUGCUGGGAAUAGUAACAUUGCACUUUAAUUUUCUCAACAGAUCUCAUCAGAAACAUUAUCUCAGAGACUGCCAGAAUGCAAAGCUAAUUUGUCUUUUCAUAAUAUGCCUUUUAGACACCUCCAUUUAAGUAUACAAUGCAUUUGUCUGAAGCACACAGGGAAGUAUCUUCUGUUAUGGACAAGACUGUUGUCUGAUGCAAACUAGAACAGGACUGUGGAAUUUUAUUGAAGCUGUGGCAAUCAGCACUACUAUGGGUCUCAGUGUGAAUGUUAAUCUACUUUAAGUCUCUUUUCUCUUGUAUUUAACCUUUGGGUUGGCUUGUUACAGUAGGCAUUAUAUACGUCUUUUUCUGAGCUAUUAAUUUAAACAGCCUUCUACAGUGUCUGUGGGCAAAGAGAAUGCAUACUUAACAUUUCUUUUCUAAAUAUAUUUUAAAUGGGCCCUUUUUGUAGUUACGAAAUGUGUAAUUAAAGCUGUAACCCAAAGAAACGUUUAAAUGUAUGCUUAAGAGUCUGUAUGGACUUAUGGAAUUUCUGGGUAUAUUUACUAUUACUCCUGACCUAGCCUACAUUUUGUUGUCAGGCAGCUGGUACCAUGGCAUGACAGCUCUCUUGCAAGGGCAUACUUUAUUGAGAUGUGGGAAAACCUUGUGUUUUAUUUGAGACUGUGGAGGAUUCUUAUCAGUUAUACUCAAAUUGAGGUUGAAGAAGCCAAACCAGAUAAAUAACGCUGUUCUCUUAGAGAAGAUAAGAGGAAGCAUCACUUUUUCACACAAAUCCAAUGUCUAUGGCACUUGCAUGUGAAGAGGAAGGAUGGUUCCAGCCUUCUCAGGCCAGCCUGAUCCAUGUGAACUUUGCUGGUGUGUGUGUGCAUUCCUUGGAACAGCUAACAGACUAUCUCCAGGGAAGAUCUGGUCACAUCUAUGGACAUACCACACACAUGAGAAACCCCAAGAAAACAAGCCCAAGCAGUGAGCUCUGAAGUGUUCAAAUUCUAGUGUAGACAAGAAGGGAGGAGAUGUGGGCAGCACCUCAAAUCUCACAGCAUGUUCAUGGUCCCUUUGUUGCGUGCAGCCUGUCACAUAUAAUGACUGAAGAAGUUCUGCUUCUCUCUCUACCUGUUUUUAUCUCUGAUUUACCUGGCAAUAUGACUAUGCAGCCAUCUGGGUUCUUGUGCUCUGUGGGCUUUACAAACUUUGUAAACACUACAGGUUCACACUCGGGAAUUACAUGCACAAGGGCCCAGCCAGCUAAGCAGCACAAGUAGCGUGUGGACACCAGUUUAUAAGCCUUUUAGAAGAUUUGAUGGUGUGUUCUUUAUUCUGUCUGUCCGUCCCUGUGGGCACACAAAUGCACGAUAGAUUAAUCGAGUUAAAUAUAUCCCAAAGUUGUUUGAAACAAUGCCUAUUUAAUUUUUUCAAGAGGCUGCACAGAAGUAUAGCAUUGUACCACAAAUAAAAGUGUUGCCACAAUGCCUGUAAAUCAGAGCUUUAAACUAUGUUUCAAUUAUCCUUCUAUUAUCCAGCUGGUGUUUAAACAUGUUUAUUAUUCAAAUCAGUAGAGAAUGUGCUGCUGUUGUGUAAACAACUGUCAAUUGCUGAAACAAUGAUUACAAGGCACCAUCUCUUUCAGGUGUACUUAGAGGUACUUAUACCUCAACCACUUGUAUUUAAAUAACAUGCAAACACAAUGCUUGAGUGACUACUUUCACUCCCGUUUCCAAUACCUCGUGCCAAUUCUAUUACAUUAAGAGGGAAAUCUAUUACAUUUUUCAUUUAUACACAUCUGUACUCUGUUUUUAACCAUUGUAUCAUUAAGGCUUGAGUUAAUAUAAUAGAUAUGCCAAGAGAUGCAGUACAUAUUGAGAAAUCCUGUUCAAAAUAAAAGCCAAUUUCUCUGCAUUAUUUUAAGGCAUUUGAAAGCUUUUGUGAAAACAAUACUAAGAAAAUUAUUUUCUAAAGAGGAAGCCUGAGAAAGAAAAGAUUUAGUCGUGGAACUCUGCUAUCCCCCAACCUCUCUAUUUGUUUUGAUGGAAACUGAGUACAUUACAAGUUGAUUGCUUCUUUUUUUUUCCAGGUAGGCAUCAACAAAAUACAGCAUUGAUGGUAUUAAACUGUCUGUCUUGUACAUGUGACAGUAUUCAGUACCUUCACACGCACUUACUGCUGGCUAAAGUGUUUGCCCAGUGAGCGUUAGAGGCAACUUUUUCCUGGUUUGUCACAAAUUGGAAGGGAGAAUGGUUGAAAAAGCUGCGUUUGUUAUAAAAAAUUCCGUGAGGAUCCUCAAAAGAAGCAACUGGA